rnacentral:lncRNA from 1 species
UGUCUGUGAUUUGAUCUUCUCAAUGUUUUUUAGCUAUUUGGGAACAUAAUCGAGAUGGGUAACUUAUCUACUGCUUUUUGUUGUUUCAUUAUGAAAGAAUUUAAGGAAAUCUUGAAGACCUUUUGGAGUAAUAUUAUAUUUUCAAAUGGUUUAUUGGAUCCUUGAAGUGGCAGCACGUAGCCUUUGAUAUAGUCGUGUUCAUUAAAUUGUCUAAUUGCCAAAUCAUUAAUUAUAACGAACGAUAACUGUUGCAGUGUUGUCAAGGAUAUAUUAGACAUGAUUGUGGCUCUUGUUACAGAAAAAGG